rnacentral:rRNA from 1 species
GAUGAACGCUAGCGGCAGGCCUAAUACAUGCAAGUCGAACGGUGUCUUCGGACAUAGUGGCGCACGGGUGCGUAACACGUAUGCAACCUACCUUACAUUGGGGGAUAGCCUUUCGAAAGGGAGAUUAAUACCGCAUAAGACAGUAGCUGGGCAUCCAGCAGCUGUUAAAGAUUUAUCGAUGUAAGCUGGGCAUGCGUCCAAUUAGCUAGUUGGUGAGGUAACGGCUCACCAAGGCAAUGAUUGGUAGGGGAACUGAGAGGUCAAUCCCCCACACUGGCACUGAGAUACGGGCCAGACUCCUACGGGAGGCAGCAGUAGGGAAUAUUGGGCAAUGGACGCAAGUCUGACCCAGCCAUGCCGCGUGCAGGAUGAAGGCGUUAUGCGUUGUAAACUGCUUUUAUACAGGAGGAAACGACUCUUGCGAGAGGCAUUGACGGUACUGUAUGAAUAAGCACCGGCUAACUACGUGCCAGCAGCCGCGGUAACAC